UACAGAGGUCUCAAGCGUUUGUUCGGAUUCAUUGGGCGUAAAGGGCGCGUAGGCGGCGCGGUAAGCGUGCGGUGAAAGUCCGGGGCUCAACCCCGGAUCGGGCCGUGCGGACGUGCCGGGCUUGAGCAGCUGUAGGGGCGGGUGGAACUCCGGGUGUAGCGGUGGAAUGCGUAGAGAUCCGGAAGAACACCGGUGGCGAAGGCGGCCCGCUGGGCAGUGACUGACGCUGAGGCGCGACAGGCGUAGGGGAGGCAACAGG
rnacentral:rRNA from 1 species